CCCGAGGCCAGCACGCCCUGCGCCCCGCCGCCCUCCCGCGGGCGUGUGCUGGCGGCGCGCCUCCCGCUGAGUCAGCCGGACAUCGGGGCUGAGCAGUCGUGAGCGCUGUGUGGCCCCCAAGCCCGAAGUGUUGACUGCCGUCUACCUUUACAGAGUUGCUGCCACACUCCAGGGGGCGCUCAUGGCCUUGGCUCUGAAAGAGGCUACAGUGUCCUUGAAGAGUACUUUCAGGAGAGCCCUUCACCGCUUCACUGGCAUCCCAGGCCACCCUCUAUGUGCUGUGCUCUCAAGCAGGGGGUUCCUCCCUCCAGCCUGGGGGACCCAGUACAAAGCACAGCCGCAGAAAAGGGCCUCUUCACCCAUUGGCAGGGGCUUUCUGGCUCUCAGUCUUCAUGACUCCCGUAGACACCCGCCUUUGACCUAAGAGAGAGCCCUCAAACUCCAAGAACAAUAAAUACACAUACCUGUUUGUUUAUAUCA